rnacentral:rRNA from 1 species
UAACGCGUGAGUAACCUGCCUUACACAAGGGGAUAGCCUCCGGAAACGGAGAAUAAUACCCUAUGAAGCUAUCUUAUCGCAUGAAAAGAUAGUCAAAGUGUUUUAGCGGUGUAAGAUGGACUUGCGUCUGAUUAGCUAGUUGGUGAGAUAACAGCCCACCAAGGCAACGAUCAGUAGCCGGCUUGAGAGAGUGUACGGCCACAUUGGGACUGAGACACGGCCCAG